CUGAUUUCUGACAACCAGAGUUUACUUUUUCCUAAGACCAAGUCUCUGACUUACGUUGUGUUCAUUAGGGUCCCAUCUUACUCUCUUUGCCUUCUUUUGGUCUUGAGAACCUCAUUAGCACAUGAGUCCCUACAUUCCAAUUUUGGCACCUUCCAGUCUGUGCCUUCUGGUGCAAGUAAGCCUUCCAUGCUGAGCCAGGUUAUUAGCUAAGUCAGGAUAUGGGAAGCACUGGGGGCUGUACAUUCUGCCCAAGGGUCUUGGUGAGUAAAGACGGUCUUCCCAUGAAGUUGCAAAGAUGUCCCUAUUGUCCCACUGUUCCUGGUACCCCAGCCACUUGUCACGUGAUGGAGCCAUUUCCCCUCUGCUUGGAUAUGGGCCACCCUUGUGACUGGUUUUGGCUACAAAGGAAGUGAAAGUUGUAGAGGCCUCUUUUAGGCAAACAGACUUGAACGAUGGAAGGUAGAAAGGGUCCACGGCGACCACCUGGCUAAAUAGACAGGCCCAUCAGGAGACCCAUCUCAGAAUCUCCAUAGGCCCUAACUAACCAAUGGGCUACUUACAACUGGGCACAGUUACCAAAAAAGGGAACAUUCCAUAUGUCUCCCAUACCUCCUCAUCUUCCCCCUUUAAAAACAGCCCCAGCCACUGCCACUGCCUUGGUGCAAAGGUACAGACAGCCUCUCUGUGCUGUCCAGCCCACCGCUCCUUGUGGUAUAUGCAUUAAACUUUGAUCGCCUUUGUUCUGCCCCAGGGGAAUUCUUUGCUUCCUGUUCCACCAGUUUCUACCCUAUCCUCGCUCCACAUUUGGGGGCCCUCCAUCCAACCAGACAGAUGCCCCACUUAGACACCAUGGAAGUGACAUUACCAAUUUUGAGCUAAGGCCUUAGGAAGCCUUAUAUUCUACCGACUCCCUUGGCUUCUUCUCUGAGCCCUGUCUACUAGGCCUUUUCCUUGGCCUGCUGACUUCAGUGCAGCCAGAUUCCUGCCAAGCCAGUUUAGCAAGCAUCCCUCCCUACCCUCCAUACCUAACCAAGUUCCUCUUGGUAUUUUUCCAUCCACUGACUCCCUCACCCUGCCCAUUGGCUGUAAGUCCCCAGCUCUCUGUCAUACUCAGAGUUGAGUUCAAUCUCGGUCCCCUAUUACAGUAGUCUUGAUCUCUAUUUCAAUAAUCUUGAGUAGUUUUCCUCACUUGUUUAACUCUGUCCAGUGUUCCAUGUUCUCUUUGACAGCUUCCACCAUGGGAACAAGCCCAGACGUGGCUGCCAGAAGAUAAGAGACCAUGUGGAACAAGGCUAAGUCCUUCCUGCCAAGGUCACCCUAGACCAGCCUGCCCGUAGUGACUGCAGGUGCAUAAAUGAGCCUGGAUGAGAUCAGCUGAGCUCCGCUUAGGAGCUGGCUCCCCCAGUACUGCCAACACUCCCACUGAGGAGACAAAGCGACCGCUGCUUGGUGUGGUGGGCAGGAGGGAAGUGCAGUGAAGCUUGGUUUUCAGAGGAGGGAAGACAAGCCCAGAAUGCAUCAGGACUCGGAAGCUGGGUUUGAGAAGAAGAAAAAGAAAUACAAGAGAGUUUGCCCUUCUCUUUGCUCUCUGCCACACGAGAAUACAGUGAGAAGAUGGCUUUCUGCAAACCAGAAAAGAUUGCCCUCACCAGUCACCAGAUAUGCCGGUGCCUUGCUCUUGGACUUCCCAGCCUCCAGA